GAGCAGUUGGUUUCGUUGUCUUGAUUUGGGGCAGUAAUGAUUUCUGAGAAGCAGGUGAUUGAUACGGGCAAAUUCAGAGCCCUAGGGGGCUGCACUGCAGCGCGGUGUGGAGAUGAGGAGAUAGACGGCUGGUCGGAUCCUGAAAUCCUAGUUUUUUUUCUCUCCCUCUCCCUUGCUUCCUCCUUUUCUUCCUUCAGCCUUUCUUCCAUUUCUUUCUUCCAUCAAAUAUUUGUGGAGCUGGAACUGGGCUUCACUAUCAUAUUCCAAGGCUCUGUACUGGGCACGGGGAGGUGCACUGAAUAGAACAGACGAAGAAACUCCUCCCAGAGACUGGAAGAAUGGCACAAGGUGUGAAAACCAAGGCUUAAAGCAUGCAAGUUAUUUGCCCAAGGAUUUUCAGCCACAAAUGAAGAAGCUGAGUCUGCUCCACACCUGUGAACCAGGCUAUUUCCACCAUGACCUGAACUCAGAUUAGCACCAGCCCAUGGAGAACAGUCCAGAAGGUUGCCCAUGGCCUUAAAGGUCAGUGUGAGCAUUAAUCACAGCCUGUUGCAUUUGAAGACCACUCCGGAACAAUGUCAUUUUAAAUCUAUGCUCGAGGCUGAACUUGGAUUGGAAAGAUGGGAGAGACAGCAGGCCUGGGUGUAUUCGGAUUAUUUCCUAAUAACUCACUGUCUCCUCUCUCCUCCCUUUCUUGAAAGUGAGUGGUUAGGGAUGAGCGGUUGUAGGCAGAGAUGGCAGUGUGAGAUAUUUCACCAAAGAGUGGGAGUUUAACCACCACCUGUCUAGGAGAUGGCCAACAUGUCCCAGAGAUGAUUGUAACAGGGAACUCUUCCGGGCAGAGCCCAGCGAAGGGAACCGGGAAAUUCGGGGGCAGGGCAAUCCCACUUUCUCUGUCAGGUGAGAUCACCUGCGCAGUGGUUUGAGUUCAGGCAUCUUACUUUCUUUUAAUUAGAUUCAUAGGAUUAAAAUUUAUCUGCUUAUCUAGUCCAAUAUUUUUAAAGCAAAAUCUGCAGAAUCUCCCUCUUUUUUUUUUCCCAAAAGAAAUAAACAUCCAUAAAUCUGAGAAAAAGCAGAGCUGGAAAAAAAGGUGGGGGCAUCUUGGAGGAUGAACUACCCGGAGCCCCUUCUGGCAGCUCUUGAGAAUUCUGGAAUUCCUCUGAAAACUACUGAUUUCGUCUCUUGUUUCCCAUUUGAGAAAACAAAAUAUAAUGCGAUCAAGGUU